UAUGUAUAUAUAUGGAGAAAAUGAAGAUCAAAUUAUUAAGUAUGGAAAAAAUGGGGGAGCAUAUUUUUUUGAGGGGAAUGUUGUCCGGCUCGAGGACCGACUGUUGAUAUAUUAAUAUUGAUCUUAUAUAUGUUUUUUUCUUUUUCUUUUUUUUGGUGUGGUUGAAGAAAUUAAGAAAUGUAUAGAUCUAAUUAAUAUUAUUGAUGAUGAUGAUAAUACUCGUCGUCGUCGUCGUCGUCGGACCAGGCUUCAUUCCCCCCAAUUUCUGCUCCUCUCCAUUCAUGCUCGAGAUUUAGAUCAUCACUUUCUUCCUCAUCUAUAAUUCUACUUCCCCUAUGUCUAAUUAUAAUGUGUGUAUAUAUUUAUUCUAUUCUCUACAGAAUUUCUUCAGCCCACAAUUCAUAUAUAUCUACAUAUUUUUUUUUUCAGUUUGAUUGGUGUAAUGAUUAACAAGGGAUCUUGACUUUUUUUCAUGAUUGCAACCCUUUUCAUUUCUGUUUUUUUUCUUGCAGGUUAUGAUGGUGUUUCGUGUCAGGGAGAUCGAUUGCUAAUUAAUCAUUGGAGUUGGCCCUGCGCGCUGAACGUACAAAUAUAUAUAUUCCUCUAGUAGAUAGAUCAAUUUUUCGUGAUUGAAAAUGAUUGUUGAAAAGAGCAGUUCGUAUUGACAACAAAGUAAAGAGCUACUCCUCAGUCACCAGUAACAAGAUGGAUGAUACUAUUAUACAUGAUCAAUUUGGGGCUGAUGAUCUGUAUGUUGAUGGAGAUUUGUUCCUGCAACUUCCGUCUGUCUGUCUGUAUGUUGAUGGAGGAGGAAGCUCAUCAAAUUAAACUAUGCAUAUUCAUCAACAAAUGAACUUUGUUUUUACACUUAUUUUAAUUUCACCCAUCAUAUACCAUGUAGCUAGUAGGCUGCAAUUAAUUCAUGAAUCACAUUUAUUUAUCUAUUUAUGUUAAUUUGCACUAGUUUUCUUAGAGUUCUUCAUUCAUAGGAUUUCAAACUUAAAACA